CUGCUUCAGCAACAGAUAUGCUAAAAUUGGAAUGAUACAGAGAAAAUUAGCAUGACCCCUGUGCAAGGAUGACAUGCAAAUUUGUGAAGCGCUCCAUAUUAAA
ensembl:snRNA U6 U6 spliceosomal RNA